rnacentral:rRNA from 1 species
AUUGAACGCUGGCGGCAGGCCUAACACAUGCAAGUCGAGCGAGCGGCGGACGGGUGAGUAAUGCCUGGGAAUUGCCCAGUCGAGGGGGAUAACAGGUGGAAAGGACUGCUAAUACCGCAUACGCGUGGAUUGCACAGGUGGGAUUAGCUAGUUGGUGGGGUAAUGGCUCACCAAGGCGAAGAUCCCUAGCUGGUCUGAGAGGAUGACCAGCCACACUGUAACUGAGACACGGUCCAGACUCCUACGGGAGGCAGCAGUGGGGAAUAUUGCACAAUGGGGGCAACCCUGAUGCAGCCAUGCCGCGUGUGUGAAGAAGGCCUUCGGGUUGUAUAGCACUUUCAGCGAGGAGGCGUUACUCGCAGAAGAAGCACCGGCUAACUCCGUGCCAGCAGCCGCGGUAAUUC